CCUCACCAUGAGAGCCUCCCUCUCCUUCUUCUCCCCAACCCUAGAUGGUUUUCUCUCCUCUUCUUCUUCCUCCCUUGCUAAGAUUGGAUCUUGAUGCAGGUGCAUGUUGGUCCAAGCAUGGAGAAGCUUGAGCUAUCCUCAGAUCUGAAGUUCUUGAGCAAAAUCCAAAUCGAGUGAUUCAAAGUUCCGCAGAUAGGUAUUGAAAAGAUCUACAACUUGGCGUUGGUCUCAUACUCAAAUUCGUUACGGAUUUUGCAAGAUCAAUAUCUGGUCAGAUCUGACUUUGUCGAAUUAAACCAGGAGCUUGGAAACGAAUUUUUGAAUGAAACCAAUUGGGAUGUUAUCUACCAGGGGAUAUUUCGUUUAUACCAUGGUGAUACCCGAGAAAGGCAAUUGCUAAGUUGUGAUACUCUCAUACCUUUACUAGAUGCGAACGAUUCCGGAGAAGAAGAAGAAGUGGUUCGGACAAGGAUUUUAUUUAUAUUGACGGGAUUCUUAUAUUGAUGAAGUUGAAGAAGUCCAGGGACAAAUAAGCCAAG